GUCACGGUACGAGUGAUCCGACUCUGAUCCGGAUCCUGGUGAGCCGCUCCGAGGUCGACCUGCAGAGGGUCGUAGAGGAGAACCGGGCAAUGUUUGAGAGAACCCUACAUGAGGACAUCUUGAACGACACCAAAGGACAUUAUCAGAAAGUCCUGCUUGCGUUGUGCUGACCGAGUUAAAACCUCGGCCUCUGAGGAAGCAAAAAAUCAGUCAAAUUCAUGCUCUAAUAAAGUUUCUCUUUCCACUAUUUGUUUUACUGCUGCUGGUGGAAAAAAUACAAGAAAAAAAAAUACAAGAAGAAUGAAAAAGGUUUUUUAUUGUUUGAAUUUGAGAUUAUAUCUGGAAAUUGUGUUUAAAUGGAGACGUGUGUGAUCCAACAUGCCUGCAGGAAGGACAUUUUAUGGCUAAUACUGAGAUUAACUGACACAAAUUCAAUAAAAAUACCUUUUUGAUCCCAAA